rnacentral:rRNA from 1 species
AAAGCGUGCGCAGGCGGUUAUGUAAGACAGAUGUGAAAUCCCCGGGCUCAACCUGGGAACUGCAUUUGUGACUGCAUGGCUAGAGUACGGUAGAGGGGGAUGGAAUUCCGCGUGUAGCAGUGAAAUGCGUAGAUAUGCGGAGGAACACCGAUAGCGAAGGCAAUCCCCUGGACCUGUACUGACGCUCAUGCACGAAAGCGUGGGGAGCAAACAGGAUUAGAUACCCUGGU